GUUGCGAACGUUUGACUCGCU
rnacentral:snRNA from 1 species